UUACUAUAGUUUAAUUAAAACGUUGAAUUGUGAUUUCAAAAUUAUCUAGUAAUAAUAAUAGCCA
rnacentral:tRNA from 1 species